ensembl:lncRNA
GGCACAUGAGCAUACAAGAAAAACCCAACCACAGGCCGGGGGGGACACGCCUCCACGCCUCCUCGCGGCGGCGGAGGUCACAACGCCACAGGUCACAACGCCACGCGUAUUGGGGGAAGCAGAAUGAACGGACACUUUUGGAAUAUUUCCAGACAGCAGGAAGAUAAGCGGGCGACCGGGUUCAGCUGCUCUGGAACGACGAUCCAAAUGGCCGAAAGGCACGAUCGAAUCUCCCUUUCACCAAACUUUAUUGACACGAAUCGCUCCUCGGCUGCCUGGCUGCUGAUAAACAAACAACUGCUUCCCCACCAGGCGCCUGCUGCGUGUCGCCUGUUGUUGGCGAGAGUCGAAGAACGGAGGAUGCGUGAGACCAUCGAGCAGCCGCGCCCUCACCCCAUCUGGGAUCACACAGCCGCAGCACAUGCCUUCUGAUUGAUUUAUUCAAGAUUAAUUGUUGCUUUGUCGGCUCAUUGCUUCCAACCGGUUCGCGUCAGAUGUCUGUGCUUUGCACUACAUUUGAACGCGGUGCAAACAAAGGGUCCUCCGCUCGUCUCGUCGCCACGAUGCAGCUACAGGUCGGCGCCAUGAAUUAGGCCACCAAUAAAGACAGACGAGUCUGGCCUCCAAGGCGAUUACAGAUCCAAAAUGAAUCUUUAAGCUUCAGCUAUUUAUGACUCUUGUUUCUUGAAAAUGAUACAAGCUCUCGCUAAUUGGAUUUGAUGGAGUCACAGAAGGGGACACGACUCCUUAAUUCAGUUC